rnacentral:rRNA from 1 species
GACGAACGCUGGCGGCGUGCUUAACACAUGCAAGUCGAACGGAAAGGCCCUGCUUUUGUGGGGUGCUCGAGUGGCGAACGGGUGAGUAACACGUGAGUAACCUGCCCUUGACUUUGGGAUAACUUCAGGAAACUGGGGCUAAUACCGGAUAGGAGCUCCUGCUGCAUGGUGGGGGUUGGAAAGUUUCGGCGGUUGGGGAUGGACUCGCGGCUUAUCAGCUUGUUGGUGGGGUAGUGGCUUACCAAGGCUUUGACGGGUAGCCGGGCUGGGAGGGUGACCGGCCACAUUGGGACUGGGAUGGGGCCCAGACUCCUACGGGAGGCAGCAGUGGGGAAUAUUGCACAAUGGGCGGAAGCCUGAUGCAGCAACGCCGCGUGCGGGAUGACGGCCUUCGGGUUGUAAACCGCUUUCGCCUGUGACGAAGCGUGAGUGACGGUAAUGGGUAAAGAAGCACCGGCUAACUACGUG